GACGAACGCUGGCGGCGUGCUUAACACAUGCAAGUCGAACGGAAAGGCCCUGCUUUUGUGGGUUGCUCGAGUGGCGAACGGGUGAGUAACACGUGAGUAACCUGCCCUUGACUUUGGGAUAACUUCAGGAAACUGGGGCUAAUACUGGAUAUGAGCUCCUGCUGCAUGGUGGUGGUUGGAAAGUUUCGGCGGUUGGGGAUGGACUCGCGGCUUAUCAGCUUGUUGGUGGGGUAGUGGCUUACCAAGGCUUUGACGGGUAGCCGGCCUGAGAGGGUGACCGGCCACAUUGGGACUGAGAUACGGCCCAGACUCCUACGGGAGGCAGCAGUGGGGAAUAUUGCACAAUGGGCGGAAGCCUGAUGCAGCAACGCCGCGUGCGGGAUGACGGCCUUCGGGUUGUAAACCGCUUUCGCCUGUGACGAAGCGUGAGUGACGGUAAUGGGUAAAGAAGCAACGGCUAAAUACGUG
rnacentral:rRNA from 1 species